rfam:Schistosoma rodhaini strain Burundi genome assembly, scaffold: SROB_scaffold0010976
AUUCAGCUGAUGAGUCCCAAAUAGGAAGAAACGUGAGUCCUGGAU